rnacentral:lncRNA from 1 species
AUGAAGAUGGAUGGGGUUGAGGGCUGGGAGAAAGAUGUUGUAUUGCAAGAAGAAGUUGGUUAAGAAGACUGACGAUUAUGAGAAUGAAGGACACAAACUUUUGAAUUAGACCAAUUGUUUGAUCGAUCAUUUUUGUUCUCUUGAAAAUGAUAUAUGGUCAAUUUUAGUAUUCUGAUGUGAUUGAAGAAUAUAGGAGGGACAAAGAGAUGUGCUAUUGCCAGGACAGUUAUGACUCUCUAUUAAGGUAUUCAGGUAUGAUUCUCCAUGGUCAUGCUUCUCAUGUUCACCUGGAAGUUUAUUGAUGGGAGGGAAGCCACUUCUGCUUUGAUGAUUUCUUGGAAGUUCAGGUUAAAACACUUUCACUCUUAAAGUCUGUUUAUCAAUUCUUUGGAUAACCUAUUUAAUGAUUGGUUUUGAUUUUCAUACAGCUAGGUGAAUUUACAAUACAAGUCAGAUUAUUUGUGAGAGAAUUUCAUUCCCUAGAAUCAUUGUCAUUCUUGUUGCCUACAAGGUACUUGAAGAAAAUGCCCGAGACAUAUUUUAAGGAGUAUAACUCAGCACUAAGGCUAUUAUUACAAUGAUGGAAUCUUUGUUGUGGUAGUUAUGUCUCCAAAUGCGUCGAUCCCUAUCGGCUACUGAAGUAAACUUAUUUAUUUUUUCUGUGUAGAUUUC